rnacentral:rRNA from 1 species
CACGUAGGUGGCAAGCGUUGUCCGGAUUUACUGGGCGUAAAGGAUGCGUAGGCGGACAUUUUAAGUCAGAUGUGAAAUACCCGAGCUUAACUUGGGUGCUGCAUUUGAAACUGGGUGUCUAGAGUGCAGGAGAGGUAAGUGGAAUUCCUAGUGUAGCGGUGAAAUGCGUAGAGAUUAGGAAGAACACCAGUGGCGAAGGCGACUUACUGGACUGUAACUGACGCUGAGGCAUGAAAGCGUGGGGAGCAAACAGG